rnacentral:rRNA from 1 species
UACGUAGGGUCCGAGCGUUUGUCCGGAAUUAUUGGGCGUAAAGGGCUCGUAGGCGGUUCGUCACGUCGGGAGUGAAAACUCGGGGCUUAACCCCGAGCCUGCUUCCGAUACGGGCAGACUAGAGGUAGGCAGGGGAGAGCGGAACUCCUGGUGUAGCGGUGAAAUGCGCAGAUAUCAGGAGGAACACCGGUGGCGAAGGCGGGUCUCUGGGCCGUAACUGACGCUGAGGAGCGAAAGCGUGGGGAGCGAACAGG